rnacentral:rRNA from 1 species
GAUGAACGCUCUUUACAGGCUUAACACAUGCAAGUCGAGGGGCAGCAUGGUCUUAGCUUGCUAAGGCCGAUGGCGACCGGCGCACGGGUGAGUAACACGUAUCCAACCUGCCGUCUACUCUUGGACAGCCUUCUGAAAGGAAGAUUAAUACAAGAUGGCAUCAUGAGUCCGCAUGUUCACAUGAUUAAAGGUAUUCCGGUAGACGAUGGGGAUGCGUUCCAUUAGAUAGUAGGCGGGGUAACGGCCCACCUAGUCUUCGAUGGAUAGGGGUUCUGAGAGGAAGGUCCCCCACAUUGGAACUGAGACACGGUCCAAACUCCUACGGGAGGCAGCAGUGAGGAAUAUUGGUCAAUGGGCGAGAGCCUGAACCAGCCAAGUAGCGUGAAGGAUGACUGCCCUAUGGGUUGUAAACUUCUUUUAUAAAGGAAUAAAGUCGGGUAUGGAUACCCGUUUGCAUAUACUUUAUGAAUAAGGAUCGGCUAACUCCGUGCCAGCAGCCGCGGUAAUACGGAGGAUCCGAGCGUUAUCCGGAUUUAUUGGGUUUAAAGGGAGCGUAGAUGGAUGUUUAAGUCAGUUGUGAAAGUUUGCGGCUCAACCGUAAAAUUGCAGUUGAUACUGGAUAUCUUGAGUGCAGUUGAGGCAGGCGGAAUUCGUGGUGUAGCGGUGAAAUGCUUAGAUAUCACGAAGAACUCCGAUUGCGAAGGCAGCCUGCUAAGCUGCAACUGACAUUGAGGCUCGAAAGUGUGGGUAUCAAACAGG